rnacentral:ncRNA from 2 species
AGACGUUCUCGGGGCGGGGUGCGAUUCCCCACCGGCGGUAUUUGCGCCACAAGCGCAUCAGCCCGCGAGCGCCCAUGCCAUCAGGGAUGGGGUCAGCAGAUCCGGUGUGAACCCGGAGCCGACGGUAUAGUCCGGAUGAGAGAGAACACAU